CAGUGCAUGCACCUGCACCUGCACCUGCACCUGCACCUGCACCUGCACCUGCACCAACACUCGCACAUGCACACAAAGGUCUAAUGAGUCAUCCUUCUUUCAAUGCAAGGACUGCAAAUG
rnacentral:miRNA from 14 species